AGGGUUUGAUCAUGGCUCAGAUUGAACGCUGGCGGCAGGCCUAACACAUGCAAGUCGAACGGUAACAGAAAGAAGCUUGCUUCUUUGCUGACGAGUGGCGGACGGGUGAGUAAUGCUUGGGAAUUUGCCUUGAGGUGGGGGACAACAGUUGGAAACGACUGCUAAUACCGCAUAAUUGCUACGGCACAAAGGGGGCUCCGGCUCUCGCCUUUAGAGAAGCCCAAGUGGGAUUAGAUAGUUGGUGGGGUAAUGGCCUACCAAGUCAACGAUCCCUAGCUGGUCUGAGAGGAUGAUCAGCCACACUGGAACUGAGACACGGUCCAGACUCCUACGGGAGGCAGCAGUGGGGAAUAUUGCACAAUGGGGGAAACCCUGAUGCAGCCAUGCCGCGUGUGUGAAGAAGGCCUUCGGGUUGUAAAGCACUUUCAGCGAGGAGGAAGAGUUAGUAGUUAAUACCUGCUGGCUUUGACGUUACUCGCAGAAGAAGCACCGGCUAACUCCGUGCCAGCCGCCGCGGUAAUAC
rnacentral:rRNA from 1 species